GAGCGGACAGAUGGGAGCUUGCUCCCUGAUGUUAGCGGCGGACGGGUGAGUAACACGUGGGUAACCUGCCUGUAAGACUGGGAUAACUCCGGGAAACCGGGGCUAAUACCGGAUGGUUGUUUGAACCGCAGGGUUCAAACAUAAAAGGUGGCUUCGGCUACCACUUACAGAUGGACCCGCGGCGCAUUAGCUAGUUGGUGAGGUAACGGCUCACCAAGGCAACGAUGCGUAGCCGACCUGAGAGGGUGAUCGGCCACACUGGGACUGAGACACGGCCCAGACUCCUACGGGAGGCAGCAGUAGGGAAUCUUCCGCAAUGGACGAAAGUCUGACGGAGCAACGCCGCGUGAGUGAUGAAGGUUUUCGGAUCGUAAAGCUCUGUUGUUAGGGAAGAACAAGUGCCGUUCAAAUAGGGCGGCACCUUGACGGUACCUAACCAGAAAGCCACGGCUAACUACGUGCCAGCAGCCGCGGUAAUACGUAGGUGGCAAGCGUUGUCCGGAAUUAUUGGGCGUAAAGGGCUCGCAGGCGGUUUCUUAAGUCUGAUGUGAAAGCCCCCGGCUCAACCGGGGAGGGUCAUUGGAAACUGGGGAACUUGAGUGCAGAAGAGGAGAGUGGAAUUCCACGUGUAGCGGUGAAAUGCGUAGAGAUGUGGAGGAACACCAGUGGCGAAGGCGACUCUCUGGUCUGUAACUGACGCUGAGGAGCGAAAAGCGUGGGGAGCGAACAGGAUUAGAUACCCUGGUAUCCACGCCGUAAACGAUGAGUGCUAAGUGUUAGGGGGGUUUCCGCCCCUUAUUGCUGCAGCUAACGCAUUU
rnacentral:rRNA from 1 species